rnacentral:misc_RNA from 1 species
AUGGACGACUUUCCUGAGAAUGCAGCCUGAGCCAAAUACCCUGGUACCUUGAAGCAGCGCUGCCUGCUGGGGCACGCGAUACGAUGCGGACUUGAGUGCGCUGACGUGUUGCAGUCGCUAUCAACUGGAGUAUCGAGUGCCCCGCUGUGGGGUUGCGGGACUUGAUCUAUCAGGGGCUGCUGCAGCGCCCGCUUGUGUCCGCGCACAAGACUGGUCCACAGGAUCGUUCACGGGCGAUGGAACGGCGUAUGCCUGGUGUGGCCGCAGAGUAGCGCCUCGGAUGCUGUACGCAUGCACGUUCGGUAGCCUGCAGAAGCGCUGGACUCUGUGCAGAGCCUGCUGGCGUGCAAGUACGAGAACGUGAGGCUCGUUCACGUCUGUUUUUCUCGCAGACACAAAACAGAAGGAAUGCACCAUUUUGAUUGGAGAACGCUCGCUGAGAAACUUGAUGCAGUCAUUGGUAGCUUACGAAGAACGGCCUUGUUUCUAAAGGUCAGUCAUUCUCCGGUCAACUGGCGGACGAAGAGCGCUCCUCGUCGGUCCUAUGCUGGACGUAGAGCACCUGGCAUACGAGGUAUCAAGCUCUCGCUAGACGCCUGUGUUUUCUUCAAUGUGUGACAAUCCAUAUGUUCUCUAAGCUGCAGUACCAAAGACGCUACGGGAUGUAAUGUCUCUGUGCUGUUCAUCUGACUGGUGAUGAAGCAAUGCGCAUAGGCAACGAAAAACGUACGUCUCUAGAGGAAAACCUCGUGCACUGAAGAGCAGUUGGAUCGAUUUCGCUCUGAAACGUGAACGCGCAUGAUAGGAUGGAUGAACGCGAUCUCGUCUCAAUCGAUGAGACUUGAUUCGGCAGGGACGGUAGACCUGGAUAUGGGUAUCCGGGGCGCUCCAAAACUAUGAUCGUAGCGAGAGAAAACAAGCGUGCAUUCCGAAAACACCAGCGCUAGCGGCGAUAUAAUUUUGUGUCGUUUUCCGGGAAUCGCGAAAUCGACAGCGUGGUUGAACACUCCAUGCUUCGUCGGAGUCAUCUUGGAUGGCUUCUGUUUCCGGUAUGCUUCUGGGCGGGUUUCGGACACUGUCGCUUUUGAUCGCGCAAAAGCAGUCGAGGUGUGCGCAACCGAAUCUGGUAUCGAGCUGCUCUUCGUACCAGCGUAUUCUUCCUUAUUGUCUCCCGUGGAAGGCGGCUCCUCUGUUGUGGAAUGGUAUUGUUACGCUUACAGAUCAAUAGACGAGUCGUUCGCUUCCAUGACACCGAAGCGAAAAGAGCGUAGUUCGACGAGACAUUGCCUAUAGCGGUACUGGCGCAUCUCGUCAAGCAAGCGGUUGGUACGGGUUCCGGAAGCAGGGCCACUGACUGUCCACAUUCCUCUGCAAUGUUUCCAAUCCAUUGCUCUAGCGACGAUCCAGUUGAUGCUCGGUGCAGGAGAUGGAACGUGGUUUCAUCCAAGCGUCAGAGGUCUGCACACACGCCUUUUCAGAAUACCUUGCCGCUUCGCUGCUUCAUACCGGCGAUCGGAACAGCUACUGUGCAGUUGCCGAACGUACCGAAUAAACCUCAAAGGCAUGCGCGGGUCAAUAUCGAUCGCUUCAAGAGGCACAGUAUGCGGUCGUCGUGCCCAGACGUUACGGACCCCUGAAAGCAAGGGACUGAUGGACGACAUCCUUUGUGUGACUAUGAGUACAGAAGAGCGCGAUGUGGUUGCAAGCACCAAAUCGAUUUCCGAACGAGAGCAAGUGUCGCUGCACGUCGUCCAAGCGGAUUGAGUUCCCAUCGGGCUGAGACCGACGACCGUUGUACGUCAUCGCUGGUUGAAACCUGGUGAUGCGUAUCUUCCUUGCAUCCUGCACUAUGAAUCUGUGUUCCUGAACAAAGCCCUCGAGUGCGAAGCAGACGUCCGCACCGUAUCCAAGCGGAUUCAGCCUCCACGAGCGCUUCGUGUGUUUGAUCCCUCAAAUUCAUGACAUGGUCGAUUAUAUCACCGUAGAUACAUAUGGACUGGACUGUAUGGGCACCACAGCGAGCCACAAAUGUCUCUACGAGCAGCUGUAACGCAUUCGACAAACUUUUCCGAAGAGCAUCCCCUGAACGUGUCCAAGGGAUAUCUCAGUUUACCUAGAGGUAAUGGAAAAGUUUCCAGGGACCAUCUCGAUCGAUACAAUAUCAGUCUUCGUGGGCUUGAUAAAACCUAUGCCAGAGUCGACCAAUACGACUCAUUUUCACCUGUUCAAGGUCUAUGAAGAGACAGCGUUCGUCAUGGGCAUGGAUCCAAGCUCCCGAGACGUCAUUGCCGUCAUCGUCCAUCUGGGUCACGACGAGGGAGUCAGCAUGAUCGAAGGCUGGAUAUUACCAGCGGACCCGGCUAACAUGGACUCAGGUCAACACCUUCAUCGACGCUCUGAAUACCGUAUCGAAUAGAGGAAGUUUCCUCGAACGCUUCAUCCGUAGAUGACACGAGCGUUGAAACGGCUGAUGCGGACGAUUGUUGACACGAGUCUGUGUGGCUGCGUUCCGGUCGACGAGUGCAUCGAUUCUCUGGAGGCAAGAUACGUGCAUUCUCCAACUUUUUCAAGGAACUCUAGAUAGAAAUGAUCAACAAGUCGCGUUGUAUUGUGUCAGUCUGUGCAACGUGACAUGAUUCAGCGCGCAGUCGCAGCACUCCUGGCCCAUCGACGCGAGCGAUGACGACAAGUGCAGGGGUCGAUGCUGCGUGACACCCUUCGACGACUCGAUAAAAAGACCACAACACACCACGGGUACGAGUGUGCGCGCUUUGACUGGUAAGGAAGAAGAGCGUGAAACAGAGACGCAUGCUCGAGACGGUCUCGAGUGGGGUAACGGAACAGCUGCCAUCAGUGCAGUGCAAAGUCACAGUCUCGCUAUGAUGUUCGUGUACCAGUGAAAAUGCGGGCAAGCGCUAUCUGAACCGAGACUUGAACACCUGCAUCAAUAUCCGGAUAUGUUUCGUGUUUCCGGAGCGUUCAGCGAAGAUGCAUCGAGCCAGGUUUCGAACGAAUCGUCUCGUACUCCGCGGAGGCAUUCGGCUGAAACGCUACAGACUUUUGAUGAAGACAUCAUUGGCAAACGCACAUGCCACGAGAAGCCUAGCAUAGGGUACGACACGAAUGGCGUACCAGUCAGCAAUGCAGCAGGCCUAGAUUCCACUAUAAAUCGCACCAAGUACGGAUGUGGUGGAUAAUUGCUAGGCAAUUACGAAAUGACAUCAUUCGUUGUUCCUGUGUGUUUAUCCCCGACACGCCAGUGCUCAGGCAAGUUGCUCUGAUGACCAAGAAACGAAAAGAGAGGCAUUUUCGCCAUCGAAUGCAAACGGAUCCGCGAUCCUGCCGAUCCUUCACUCCUUGAUGCACUGGCGUCCAGGAAUGGGCCUGCUCGUCACCAAGCCACUUGCGGGCGACACCGUGCACUAAUCUGCAUACGAAGACGACGAGAGAUCAGGCUGGUCUUGGCUUGAGAAUGCAGACCCCGGCUCCAUCACUGCGAGCGACAGAUUUUCAUGGAUUGCUGCAUGGUUUUGCACUUGCCAAAGCAUCCCCGAUAGCUCGAUUAUAAUCGGUUCCCGGGAGCGUGUCCAUUGUGCUGUACGAGAGCUCCUGGUGCCAGCGGAGCAGCGAUGUCCGGUGGUGCAUUCCAGGCGCAAACAACGAAGCACCGGGACAUCAUCCACAUUCUCCGCGCGUAGUGUCGUCCGCUCGACCUACGCAAUGCGUUAUCGCAUGACAACAACACGCUUCCGAUGAAGCGUCGUGCGAAAAGAUGAAGAACGCAGCAUGCGCUUCAUUUUAUGAUGCGCACCAGUGCAACGCCGAAAGCAGGCCCUUGCGCCUCAGCGUAAGCUCGUCAAGCUGAACGACGCAUGUUCCAGAUAACUAGGGCGCGUACUACUCACCGGCUUAUGUGCUCAACGAGUAUCGUUCGGAUGGCGCCAGAAAAAAGCGCUUCACACGUGCUCGUGGCAGAUCCUGCAGUAUCUCGUUUCGAACGAGUACCGACCGUGCCCGCUUCAGUUCAUGACAUCAGUCUGUAGACGGAGGCUCAAUGCUCAGGACGACGUUGCCGGUUCCCGGGUCCAGAGCGCCGACCCGCACCACUGCCGGUCUGCAUGCCUCGGAGUAUGCCUCCGUUUCAUGAGGACAAGACGCCAACAUGCGCUGGUCGCUAACGAGAGCGUCUUACCCUUGGUACUGGGCAGAAGCGUUCAUGCAUGCAUCGUGGACAUGGAAGCCUGGUUACCAAUCGCUCAGGCUCCACAUCGAUUUGCUCGCAACACUGGCAGGGUAUCGGACGGCGAACGCGUUCAGACGCUUGGUCGUGUGCUCCUCGCCCUGAUCGACUCGGUUCUGCAUCGCCUGAGGCAUGACGAUCAGCGUGGCUUCGAUACCGACGUUCGCCUCGCGAUGCGUACGACAUGACGCUUGGGGAGCGUUGCUCGUGCAGGGCGGCGGCGGCGGCGGCGGCCAUGGUCCACUGGGUAAUCUUCACGGGCUCCAGGUCGGCAACGCUGGCGAUGCGUCCGUCGCAGCGUGAGCUCCAGUCCAGGGCGGUCACCUCCCCGGUGCAGGCUAUGCGAACGAACCUAUCGUCUCGAUCGGGCGACGCAUCGCUGCCAGCGACUUGCGCUGGAAGUUCCCAGUGUGCUGCGGGCAGGUUCCCCAGAUCCGCAACAAUAAGGUCGCAACCGGACCCAAAGGCAACGUACGCACCAUCGGGACUUGGGCGCACCCGAGUAUAAUGAGACCACAGCGGUGCCUGAAUGCUCUGUACAACUCCAUUCGAGAGACGAGCAUUUCCGAGCUGCAACGGGUCCAGAAUGAAGACUGUGCCACGUUCGGGUGCACCUGGACGCAGUGUGGCCACCGCAAGGCGCCGACAGCUGUGCUGCAGGUGCGCAUGUGCGAUGCCGUUACCUGGGGCAAGCUGCACCGUUGUCACCGGUUUGGCGAGGCGUCUGUGUGCUCUGAGCGAGCCACCUUCGAAUUCAGGGCUGAGCAACGGACAAGUCGACCAUGUUUGACGCAAAUCCCACACCUUCAGCAAUCCAUCCGUUGCACCUGCCGAUAACAGCGCACUGGGAUCAGGUCCAAGCCAGACAACGCUUGCGAUCGCUCGAUCAGGUGAGGGUGCCAGGAGAUCAGCCCGGGAAGCUACGCCCCGCUCCACGAGUCGACGAGCCGCAGGGUUCCGAAAAUGCCCCAGCUGCACAGCGCGCACAGGAAGGAGCGCGUUACGUGUCUUAUUAUCUCCGGAAAGCGCCGUACUGGAGCUCGACGCAAGUCGCCUGCAGCUGCGCAGAUCGUAGACGAAGAUGUUCCCGUCUCGUCCACAGGUGCUGAUGAUGCGACCUCCAUCCUCCGGGAGCGGAGCAAUGCUUCGCACUGCGCCAUGGUGUCCGCACAGCCGUGCAACGCGUACCGGUGGCGAAGGCGCCUCGCUUCCUCCGUAAUCCUGAAAAUAACGCCAGUCUCGAUUCCAGCCUCGCUGACGAUUCUUAUGACCUAAUGCGCUGCACGUGGAGACGUCCACGAUAUCGACAACUCCUGAGGCGUAAGCUGCAGCCAGUCCGGAUGCGUUGGUCGUCGCCCCCGGUAGCCAAGCGACGUCAAACACUGCCCGGUUGCUCUCGCAACUAUUCCAGAAAGCAACCAGGUUCUCAGAUUCCACGUACAGAGCUCGCUCUCGGGACACUCCAAUAGGACCGUUUUCUUCCGAUGCGAUCUGCACGGUACGGUCUACGUCGAUCAGCCGCACGCGACCGCCCUGGUCGCCAACGGCAACAACCUCGGUGCCCGGGUGAUAGGCAAGCGCGUACGCCAGCGUUGCAUCAGUUGCCUGCUGCGCGCUGUCACUGCUGACAGCCCGCUCAGCAGCGCUCUGCAGCGGCAAAUUCCGGAGCCAGCGAACUCUACGCCGCUCCCGCACAGCACGCGCUUCAGCAUCCAGUGGCUCGCUUGUGGCGGCACUGCGUCCACAGAGACACUGGUCGAGCAGGCGAGCCCACCCGACUUGCUCCAUGUAGUCAGCAAAGAGGACCGACCCCUGCCGUUGCAGCUGAUGCCUCCACGGUCGCCGUGCUUCGUACGCCUCGUCCCGAUCAGGCCACGUGUGAGCAGUAGCGUCCAGUUCAGCGAGCUCGAGUCCCUGUGUAGGUAGCAGGUAGCCGCUGCCAGCGACAUAUCGGCAGAGGGAACGUGCACGCUUUCGCCGUAGCGUUUGCGUCACCUGUGCAGCAUCGAGUGCUCUACAGUUCCGUUCUAGAUCGGACACCAAACGCACGAUAGACUUGGACAUUUCCGGUUUCAUCGACUGAAUAGACGCUGAAAACACCCCCGAGUGGCGAGGCGUACAGCGCGCCGCGUCACGCCGUUGCCGCUGCGUCGUUCGCGCCAUUUCGGCAAAGCGUCCACGCAAGUACCGCUUUCUUUCCCUCGGUGAAAGACGUGCUCGAGACGCUCUGUUUUGUGGUGCAAACCAGGAGCUCAGACUGGAAACAAGGAGUAACGGGGGCUUCAUGCAAGACGCUAUGGUUACUGGGAGAGGUUUUGCUCGAGAAAGUGCCCCGGGGGAGCCCAACGCCCUGUCUGAGGGCACUGCGUUCGCCCGAGGCUCGACGUGCACCAGACACGCUGAGCGUUUAUGCUGCGGACGCGAAUGCCGGCGCGGGCGAGCUACUAGGCAUCGUCGGAAGUGCGGGCAGAUUGGUAUCCCUCGACGGAUGCGGACUAUUGCGUCCGGGAAGGUUGCGACCAAGUUGAGGUGCAUCGAAGCGAAGCUGGAGCG